rnacentral:rRNA from 1 species
UACGUAGGGUGCGAGCGUUGUCCGGAAUUACUGGGCGUAAAGAGCUCGUAGGUGGUUUGUCACGUCGUCUGUGAAAUUCCGGGGCUUAACCUCGGGCGUGCAGGCGAUACGGGCAAUACUUGAGUGCUGUAGGGGAGACUGGAAUUCCUGGUGUAGCGGUGAAAUGCGCAGAUAUCAGUAGGAACACCAAUGGCGAAGGCAGGUCUCUGGGCAGUUACUGACGCUGAGGAGCGAAAGCAUGGGGAGCAAACAGGAUUAGAUA